GGGACACGUGAUGUUAUCUACACUGAUAGAAUGCUGCCUUUUAGACCUGACCAAGCAAGUCGGAGGUACAAAAGGAAAAAAAAGCCUCUUUGUCAUCUUGCUGGCAAAAACUGGUUUGGAAUAAAGAACAGGAUUUUUGCUUCUGCUUUUCUCUUGGCUAUAGAAACUGACCUAUUUUUAAGGAAUUCCUGUACAUUUUAGGGUGUUUUACAAAGGGUGAAUCUGGUGAUCAGAGAGAGAGAGAGAGAGAGAGAGAGAGAGACAGAGAGAGCUGAGCAACCCAACGCCGUGUGUAUGGGUGUGUGUGUGUGUGUGUGUGUAUGAGAGAGAGAGAGAGAGAGAGAGAGAGAAAACAAACAAAACUAAACUCACUGAAAAGUGAAAUCAAAGUAAAAAUAAAAUGCACCUGGAAUU